CCCAGUCCAGACAGCGUAAGGAUUGACAGGUUGAUUGUCCUUUCUUGAUUCUCUGGGUAGUGGUGCAUGGCCGUUCUUAGUUGGUGGAGUGAUUUGUCUGGUUAAUUCCGUUAACGAACGAGACCUUAACCUGCUAUUUAGUCGCUCGGUCUUUGUCCGUGCGCACUUCAUAGAGGGACUCUGCGGCGUCAAGCUGCGGUGAGGUUUAAGGCAAUAACAGGUCUGUGAUGCCCUUAGAUGUCCUGGGCUGCACGCGCGCUACACUGAUGCUUGCCUCGUGUUUACCCUCGGCCGAUAGGCCCUGGUAACCCCUAGUCUGCAUCGUGUUUGGGAUUGAUCUUUGCAAUUCUAGAUCAUGAACGAGGAAUGCCUAGUAUGCGCAAGUCAUCAGCUUGUGCAGAUUACGUCCCUGCCCUUUGU
rnacentral:rRNA from 1 species